rnacentral:tRNA from 2 species
GGGAUCAUAGCUCAGUCGGUAAGAGCACGCUCCUUAUAAGGGCGAGGUCAUGGGUUCAAGCCCCAUUGAUCCUACCA